GCGGCGUUAGACUUGUCUGGAGUGGUCGCUAGGUUUUCAACCUGGAAGUCGCGAGUUCAAAUCUCGCACGCCGCA
rnacentral:tRNA from 1 species